rnacentral:rRNA from 1 species
CUACGGGGUGCUCCAGGCGAGAAAACUUUGCAAUGUGCGAAAGCACGACAAGGUUAAUCCGAGUGGUUUCUGCUAAAGGAACCUUUUGUCGGUCCUAGAAACACCGAUGAAUAAGGGGUGGGCAAGUUCUGGUGUCAGCCGCCGCGGUAAAACCAGCACCUCAAGUGGUCAGGAUGAUUAUUGGGCCUAAAGCAUCCGUAGCCGGCUCUGUAAGUUUUCGGUUAAAUCUGUAUGCUCAACAUACAGGCUGCCGGGAAUACUGCAUAGCUAGGGAGUGGGAGAGGUAGACGGUACUCGGUAGGAAGGGGUAAAAUCCUUUGAUCUAUUGAUGACCACCUGUGGCGAAGGCGGUCUACCAGAACACGUCCGACGGUGAGGGAUGAAAGCUGGGGGAGCAAACCGGAUUAGAUACCCUUGUAGUC